rnacentral:rRNA from 1 species
GAUGAACGCUGGCGGCGUGCCUAAUACAUGCAAGUCGAGCGAACAGAUGAGGAGCUUGCUCCUCUGACGUUAGCGGCGGACGGGUGAGUAACACGUGGAUAACCUACCUAUAAGACUGGGAUAACUUCGGGAAACCGGAGCUAAUACCGGAUAAUAUAUUGAACCGCAUGGUUCAAUAGUGAAAGACGGUUUUGCUGUCACUUAUAGAUGGAUCCGCGCCGCAUUAGCUAGUUGGUAAGGUAACGGCUUACCAAGGCGACGAUGCGUAGCCGACCUGAGAGGGUGAUAGGCCACACUGGAACUGAGACACGGUCCAGACUCCUACGGGAGGCAGCAGUAGGGAAUCUUCCGCAAUGGGCGAAAGCCUGACGGAGCAACGCCGCGUGAGUGAUGAAGGUCUUCGGAUCGUAAAACUCUGUUAUUAGGGAAGAACAAAUGUGUAAGUAACUAUGCACGUCUUGACGGUACCUAAUCAGAAAGCCACGGCUAACUACGUG